UGGCGGACGGGUGAGUAAUGUCUGGGAAACUGCCCGAUGGAGGGGGAUAACUACUGGAAACGGUAGCUAAUACCGCAUAACGUCGCAAGACCAAAGAGGGGGACCUUCGGGCCUCUUGCCAUCGGAUGUGCCCAGAUGGGAUUAGCUAGUAGGUGGGGUAACGGCUCACCUAGGCGACGAUCCCUAGCUGGUCUGAGAGAUGACCAGCCACACUGGAACUGAGACACGGUCCAG
rnacentral:rRNA from 1 species